UACAGAGGGGGCCAGCGUUAUUCGGAAUUAUUGGGCGUAAAGGGCGCGUAGGCGGCUCUGCGUGUCUUUCGUGAAAUCCCUCGGCUCAACUGAGGACGUGCGGAAGAAACUGCAGGGCUGGAGUCCGGGAGAGGAGGGUGGAAUUCCCAGUGUAGCGGUGAAAUGCUUAGAGAUUACAUGGAAUACCAAUUGCGAAGGCAGGUUACUAACAAUAUAUUGACGCUGAUGGACGAAAGCGUGGGUAGCGAACAGG
rnacentral:rRNA from 1 species